CCUUGAAAUACCACCCUUUAAUGUUUGAUGUUCUAACGUGGACCCGUAAUCCGGGUUGCGGACAGUGUCUGGUGGGUAGUUUGACUGGGGCGGUCUCCUCCUAAAGAGUAACGGAGGAGCACGAAGGUUGGCUAAUCCUGGUCGGACAUCAGGAGGUUAGUGCAAUGGCAUAAGCCAGCUUGACUGCGAGCGUGACGGCGCGAGCAGGUGCGAAAGCAGGUCAUAGUGAUCCGGUGGUUCUGAAUGGAAGGGCCAUCGCUCAACGGAUAAAAGGUACUCCGGGGAUAACAGGCUGAUACCGCCCAAGAGUUCAUAUCGACGGCGGUGUUUGGCACCUCGAUGUCGGCUCAUCACAUCCUGGGGCUGAAGUAGGUCCCAAGGGUAUGGCUGUUCGCCAUUUAAAGUGGUACGCGAGCUGGGUUUAGAACGUCGUGAGACAGUUCGGUCCCUAUCUGCCGUGGGCGCUGGAAGACUGAGGGGGGCUGCUCCUAGUACGAGAGGACCGGAGUGGACGCAUCACUGGUGUUCGGGUUGUCAUGCCAAUGGCACUGCCCGGUAGCUAAAUGCGGAAGAGAUAAGUGCUGAAAGCAUCUAAGCACGAAACUUGCCCCGAGAUGAGUCUUCCCUGAGACUUUAAGUCUCCUGAAGGAACGUUAAAGACGAUGACGUUGAUAGGCCGGGGGUGUAAGCGCAGCGAUGCGUUGAGCUAACCGGUACUAAUGAACCGUGAGGCUUAACCUUACAACGCCGAAGCUGUU
rnacentral:rRNA from 2 species